ensembl:ncRNA F47F2.9 ncRNA
UUCCUGUAUAUUUACUGAACAAAUUGAGCACUAUGGCCCCGAUGUUCACACAAUUAUAAGUGUUGAAGAGA